CACGUGGGAACGUACCCUUCGGUUCGGAAUAACUCAGGAACGUUGAGCUAAUACCGGAUACGUCCGAGAGGAGAAAGAUUCAUCGCCGAAGGAUCGGCCCGCGUCUGAUUAGCUAGUUGGUGAGGUAAUGGCUCACCAAGGCGACGAUCAGUAGCUGGUCUGAGAGGAUGAUCAGCCACAUUGGGACUGAGACACGGUUCCAGACUCUUACGGGAGGCAGCAGUGGGGAAUUUUCCGCAAUGGGCGAAAGCCUGACGGAGCAAUACCGCGUGAGGGAUGACGGCCUAUGGGUUGGUAAAC
rnacentral:rRNA from 2 species